rnacentral:rRNA from 1 species
ACACGUAGGGGCCUGACGUUGUUCGGAAUCAUUGGGCGUAAAGGGCGCGCAGGCGGCCGUCCAAGUCCGGUGUUAAAUGGUCGGGCUCAACCCGAUCAUGCGCUGGAAACUGGGCGGCUUGAGUCCCGUAGGGGAUGCCGGAAUUCCAGGUGUAGGGGUGAAAUCUGUAGCUAUCUGGAAGAACACCGAUGGCGAAGGCAGGCAGCUGGCCAGAGACUGACGCUGAGGCGCGAGGGCGCGGGGAGCGAACAGGUUUAGAUUCCCUGGUAGUCCGCGCAGUAAUCGAUGCGCACCAGGGGUCGGGCGGCAGCGCCCGGUACCGGAGCUAACGCGAUGAGUGCGCCGCCUGGGGAGUAUGCCCGCAAGGGUGAAACUCAAAGGAAUUGGCGGGG